rnacentral:rRNA from 1 species
UACAGAGGUCUCAAGCGUUGUUCGGAUUCAUUGGGCGUAAAGGGUGCGUAGGCGGCGCGGUAAGUCGGGUGUGAAAUCUUGGAGCUUAACUCCGAAACUGCAUUUGAUACUGCCGUGCUUGAGGACUGGAGAGGAGACUGGAAUUUACGGUGUAGCGGUGAAAUGCGUAGAUAUCAGGAGGAACACCGGUGGCGAAGGCGGAUCUCUGGGCCAUUACUGACGCUGAGGAGCGAAAGCGUGGGGAGCGAACAGG